UCGUCGUCCGGUGUCAUCCGAAGACACAUUGGUUUUCGCACUCUAACUUUAGUUUAAGUGAAUGGAUCUCUAUGAAAUUUUACCAUAAGGUUCAAUACCACGAAAGGAAGGCUGGGAUUGAUUUUGGGGGUUAUGGUACCAACAGUUAAGGAAUAAGGGGCCAAAAAU